rnacentral:rRNA from 1 species
GUGUGUGACCAUAACACCCUGCAUGUGCCUGAUUUCAUCUGAUCUCAGAAGAUGAGCUGGGUCGGGUCUGGUUAAUACCUGAAUGGGAAUAUUACAAUUU